GCGAAUCGCCCUUCGGGGCGCAGCAGGCGCGAAAACUUUACAAUGCUGGCAACAGCGAUAAGGGGACCUCGAGCGCCAGGAUAUAAUCUUGGCUGUCGCGAUGCCUAAAAAGCAUUGCAUAGCAAGGGCCGGGCAAGACCGGUGCCAGCCGCCGCGGUAACACCGGCGGCUCGAGUGGUAACCGCUAUUAUUGGGUCUAAAGGGUCUGUAGCCGGCCGGAUAAGUCUUUUGGGAAAUCCAGCUGCUCAACAGUUGGGCUUUCAGAAGAUACUGUUCGGCUCGAGACCGGGAGAGGUGAGAGGUACUUCAGGGGUAGGGGUGAAAUCUUGUAAUCCUUGAAGGACCACCAGUGGCGAAGGCGUCUCACCAGAACGGAUCUGACGGCAAGGGACGAAAGCUAGGGGCACGAACCGGAUUAGAUACCCGGGUAGUCCUAGCCGUAAACGAUACUCGCUAGGUGUCAGCCACGGUGCGACCGUGGUUGGUGCCGUAGGGAAGCCGUGAAGCGAGCCACCUGGGAAGUACGGCCGCAAGGCUGAAACUUAAAGGAAUUGGCGGGGGAGCAC
rnacentral:rRNA from 1 species